CAUUUAUCUCUUUACACAUGAAGAUAUUACAUAAAUAAAAGAUAAUUUAUGGAAAGGAAACAGCCAUUUGAAAUAAUAAUCCUAAAUUUCAUUGUAUAAUCUUGAAAGGCUUUAAGAGUCAAAGAUGCAGAUUUCUACAGUUUUAAAGAAAACUUGAUCGCACCUGGGAAAUUUGUGCAUUUUUGCACACUUACUGAAUUUGAAUGCCUGCGUGGAUCAAAAACAAAAAAGAGGGAUAAAAGGAAGGCAGGAGAGAAAAGGUGCGGAUUUCACAUGUGCUUUAAACUAAUGCAUUCGCCCACACGUCCACAGACUUCUUGUUACAAUUUUAUUGACUUUUUCUUUAUAUCCGAAAAUAAUUUCUAAAUAGCUAAUGCAAAUUGCAAAAUAGUGAGUCUUCUGAAGGGCCUUCUCUUCCCGGGGAUCCUCAUCUUAGAAUGAACAGAGGUAUUCCCAGAACCGGACCCUGAUCUCACAACCUCAUACAAAGCCAGGCAAUUCUUGAGCCAAACAAACAAAGGGUGUGUAAGCGAUUUCAUUUAUUUUGAUAAUCCUCCUCUUGCACAGGAGCAUCUUGCUGUCUUUGUCAAAGUGAAUGACAACAAUUUGGCUAACUCUCUCUGAGCUGCGCUCAACAGUGACAGGCAAAUUAUCAGAGGCCCUGCACUUCUUAUUAUCAGAGGAGAAGCCAUCAGGGGGACGCAUGGAGGAUACCUCUCCCUUGUCACUAUUUGUCAGUGGGACAAGGGCCACUGCUAUGGGUAGCUGACAGGUAAUUUCAACAAUAACAAUUACUCCUAUUACUGGUGUCAUAAACAAUUCGCCCAAGGCAUGACAAUAGCAAAGCUUUAUAAUUCAAUGCCAUAUAAAUAAAUGCCAGCAGGUAACAAGUAAUUUAGCUCCAAUCAAGCUUUCACCCCGGCAUUAAUAUUGUUAUUGCAAGAAAGUAGAAAAUUGAAAAAACUCGAUAUGUUAAUGAAUUAAGAGAGGUUCAAGGGCUAGACAGAGGGGUUGAAAAAGGGAAACCAAAAUUAUUAUGGGAUCAUAUUUGGUGCCAUCCUGAGGGCCAAAGAGCAGCAUCAUUACUAUUAGGUAAGAAGGGGGACCAGAGAUGCUGUUGCCCUCCACUUCAGACCUGGGAAAAAUGUGACAUGGCCUUUCAAAAUCCCCUUUCUCUGAUUUCUGAAGACUGUAAGUAGAAAUAUGAGAAGGUGUCUAUAAUGCAGCAUUUCACUGGUUUUUUUUCUUCCCACCUGAAAUAUUUCAUAUGCAGCAGAGGCAUGAGUAUCAAAGGAACAUUUCCGCCUGUUUAAGAAAAUCGCAUCAGCACCUACUUCCUUUACAUUAAGUCUUGUAACAGAAACUGUUUUAACAAGCCUAUUUUUAUCUUUGGUGAAGGUAAUGCCGAAAACCCCUCUUUGCUCUCCAGCUGUCCACCUUUUGGAAGUAGACUAGAGGACACGGUCCAAUCUUCCUCCAUAAAACUUCCCGAUGAAACGAAUCUGCAAUUUCAGUAUUUGUCCAGCAAGACAAUGUGCCAUCAUGGUGACAGCAGUAAAAGAAUUUGAAAAUCUCUAAUUAGGAGAGCUGUGGAGCAAUUAACGCAUGUCAAAUUUUACUUCAUCAAGUGCCACUCUAAUUUUCCUCUAAAAAUUAAUGGAUUUUUUUUUCUUUUGGUAUGUGUGUGUGUCCCCUUAAGGCAAUGUUGAUUCAAAUCUGCUCAAGAUGCAGUGUUGCACAGCUAAGCAUCUUCUUGAUUACAAUCCGCCACCCUUCUAACUGCGCUCAUUCUCACUGCCACGGAUACUUUGUCAACAGUCAAAUUACACCACGCUGAUAACAAUGCAUAAUGGUGUUCCUCCUCUGAGGCCCCUGGCAGGAGAUGGGGUUCAUAAAAAUGUGAUGUUUUCUUCUCAACUGUUUCUGAAGGAAGUUUGUAUGACCAGGUCAAAGUCAGGCGUUAAUUUUUUGAAAUUAAUUUGUUAAUUUCAAGAAAGGGAAGAUAAUGAUAGAAUAUGAAAAUACCUCACUGAAAAAAAAUCAGAGGAAGAAUGAGGAAUUGAGAAUAUCUGUGGCCAAAGUUUUGCUUAAACACUUUGUUCGGAGACAUUUUCAAGAGCACUACUCUUGGUAAAAUACCAGAGUUUUUUUUUUUUUUUUCUUUACUUAUGAGCUAUAAACAUUGGAAGCCUCUCUUGAACAGACAGUAUUUAGAUUGUGAGAGAAGUUUGUUUAACUGCCAUAUUUGCCAGAAUCUUCAAAACAUCACAGGACACAGAAGAUAAAUGACUCUUUUUUUUUUCUUUUUUUUAAGGGUCAGGACUGUAUCUUCCAGAUAAAUGUUGAUUCAUUUUAACUAUUUUUUAUCCUACUUGCUUGUUGCCGAUUCGUGUGCUUGAGUCAUCAGCACAUAUGAGGAUUGUUUCUCACUGGAAAAUGAGAGAAACAGCAAUUAGAUGAUUUUACAUUCAGUGUAAAAUCAUUUACAGAUCAGUCAGAUUUCAUAUUUCUAAAACAAUCAGAUCCAAAACAAAAAUGGACAUUUAGCAUUAAACAAAAUGCUAAAUGAAUCUCUUUGCAGAUUCUUUCAGGGAAUGGAGACCAUUCACAUGGAUUGACAUGCCAAUUUUCUCAUCGUGUUGAAUGUGGUCUUUUCACUUACCUACAACUAACUCAAAAAUCUUACAUUUGAUAUUUUGAGGUUUGUAUUUCCAAAUAUUAAAAAACUCUUCCCUUCCUUAUGGCCACUCCCCAGCAUGUUCUGAAGUGGUCUCUUUCAGACAAAAGAGAAUGACAUCCCCCUUUCAACUAGCAAAUGUUGGAUUCCCUAAACCAACUGGGGGUAAACUGGAAGUUUUGCAAUUAGAUUCACACAAGCUGAAUAUGUUCAUUAUCUCCAAACAUUCUCCUUCGAACUUUACAAAUAUAACACUACUGAGUUUAGAGUUUCCUGUGGCUUGUUUACAAAUAAAGGUAUCUUGAUAAAAACCAA